AGAGUUUGAUCCUGGCUCAGGAUGAACGCUGGCGGCGUGGAUAAGGCAUGCAAGUCGAACGGCCCUUCGGGGCAGUGGCCGACGGGGUAGUAACACGUAGGAACAUACCCGAGAGACAGGGAUAACCACGGGAAACCGUGGCUAAUACCUGAUAGUCCGAGCUCUUGUUUUCAAGAGUUUGGUAAAGCUCCGGCGCUCUCGGAUUGGCCUGCGGGGUAUCAGUUAGUUGGUAGGGUAACGGCCUACCAAGACGAUGACGCCUAGGGGGAGUGAGAGCUCGAUCCCCACCAAUGGGACUGAGACACGGCCCAUACACCUACGGGUGGCAGCAGUCGAGAAUCUUCCACAAUGGACGAAAGUCUGAUGGAGCGACGCCGCGUGGUGGAUGACGCCUUUAGGGGUGUAAACACCUUUUCUGGAGGAGGAAGUUUAUUGACGUUACUCCAGGAAUAAGGGGCAGCUAAUCACGUGCCAGCAGCUGCGGUAACACGUGAGCCCCAAGCGUUAUCCGGAAUUAUUGGGCGUAAAGGGUGUGUAGGCGGUCAAGCUAGUCUUCUGUCAAAUCUCUCGGCUUAACCGAGAAUCGGCAGAGGAUACGGUUUGACUGGAGGAUACGAGAGGUGUGCGGAACUCAUGGAGUAGGGGUGAUAUCCGUUGAUCUCAUGAGGAACACCAAAAGCGAAGGCAGCACACUGGCGUAAUCCUGACGCUGAGACACUAAAGCCAGGGGAGUGAAGCGGAUUAGAUACCCGCGUAAUCCUGGCCCUAAACGAUGCUCGCUAGCUUUUCGGAGUAUCGACCCUCUGAGAGGCGAAGCUAACGCGUUAAGCGAGCCGCCUGGGUAGUACGAGCGCAAGCUUAAAACUCAAAGGAAUAGACGGGGACUUGCACAAGCAGUGGAUCAUGCGGUUUAAUUCGAUAAUGAGCGAAGCACCUCACCAGGGCUUGACACCUAACUGAACUCGAUUGGAAACAACCGGGGCCCUUACGGGCAGUUAGGCAGGUGAUGCAUGGCCGUCGUCAGUUCGUGGCGUGAGCUGUUCCCUUAAGUGGGGAAACGAACGCAACCCUCGUUGCCUGUUACAAGUGUCAGGCGAGACUGCCCCGCCCCGUGCGCACGAAGUGCGCAGUUGUUAGCUGUUAGCUACCAGCUUUUAGAAAAUUUCUGAAAGCUAAAAGCUAGGAGCUGGAAGCUGUGUUCACUUCGUGAACACCGGGCGGGGAGGAAGGCGAGGACGACGUCAGGUCAGCAUGUCCCUUUGACGCCCUGGGCUACACGCAUGAUACAAUGGCGACUACAACGGGUCGCGACGGGGAAACCCUGAGCUAAUCCUUAAAAAAGUCGCCCCAGUUCGGAUUGAGGUCUGCAACUCGACCUCAUGAAGUUGGAAUUGCUAGUAAUCGCGGGUCAGCAACACCGCGGUGAAUACGUUCUCAAGUCUUGUACUCACCGCCCGUCAACUCAAGGGAGUUGGGAGUACCCGAAGUCCCGCCUCAGGCGGGCCGAAGGUAAGCCCAGCGACAGGGAGUAAGUCGUAACAAGGCACGGCUAGGGGAACCUGGUCGUG
rnacentral:rRNA from 1 species